rnacentral:rRNA from 1 species
CGGGUGAGUAACGCGUGGGUAACCUGCCCUGUACAGGGGGAUAACAGUCAGAAAUGACUGCUAAUACCGCAUAAGACCACAGCACCGCAUGGUGCAGGGGUAAAAACUCCGGUGGUACAGGAUGGACCCGCGUCUGAUUAGCUGGUUGGUGAGGUAACGGCUCACCAAGGCGACGAUCAGUAGCCGGCUUGAGAGAGUGAACGGCCACAUUGGGACUGAGACACGGCCCAAACUCCUACGGGAGGCAGCAUG